AGGCAGGCCUGGCAGGGGAGAUACCAUGAUUACGAAGGUGGUUUUCCCAUUGUAGUCUGAAUGUGGUGACCCCUGCGAUUUCUGACUCGACUGCAUAAUUUGUGGUAGUGGGGAACUGCAUUCAAGCUCUCCCCUG
ensembl:snRNA U1 U1 spliceosomal RNA